GACGAAGGGCGUGGGUGUUAUUCGUUUUGAUUGGGGGUAAAGGGUACGUAGGUGGCUUCUGGUGAUUUGGCUAAAAACGCGGAGUGUUCCUACGCGAUAGCCUUUGAAAAAGGAAGCUUGUGUUGUCGAUAGGUAGAGGCAAAUUCUUAAGUAGGGGUAAAAUCCAACUAUAUGAGAAUGAACGCUAGCUGGCGAAGGCGCUUUUCCGGUGACAACAGACGCUAAGGUACGGAAGCUCAGGUAGCAAACAGG
rnacentral:rRNA from 1 species